AGAGUUUGAUCCUGGCUCAGGACGAACGCUGGCGGCGUGCUUAACACAUGCAAGUCGAACGCGCUUCACUCCUUCGGGAGUGAAGUGAGUGGCGAACGGGUGAGUAACACGUGAGCAAUCUACCCUUGACUCUGGAAUAACAGCUGGAAACAGCUGCUAAUACCGGAUACGACCUUCGAUGGCAUCAUCUGGAGGUGGAAAGCCCCGACGGUCAAGGAUGGGCUCGCGGCCUAUCAGCUUGUUGGUGAGGUAACGGCUCACCAAGGCUUCGACGGGUAGCCGGCCUGAGAGGGCGACCGGCCACACUGGGACUGAGAUACGGCCCAGACUCCUACGGGAGGCAGCAGUGGGGAAUAUUGCACAAUGGGCGCAAGCCUGAUGCAGCAACGCCGCGUGCGGGAUGACGGCCUUCGGGUUGUAAACCGCUUUCAGUAGGGACGAAGGUAACCUGACGGUACCUACAGAAGAAGGACCGGCCAACUACGUGCCAGCAGCGGCGGUAAUUC
rnacentral:rRNA from 1 species